CGCCCGUUUUCACCCGUUUCCGGCCUCCUCCGUGAGCUAUAGCACACGAAAAUGGCGGAACAGGGUUGUUUUGACCGUUUUCACCCAUUUCCAUGUAUCACUUGCCUUUUCCACCACUUGCCACCAAACUUGCCCGUUUUCAUACCGGGCGCCCGUUUUCACCCGUUUGCUCCCGUUUUCGUGAGUUAUAGCACACGAAAAUGGCCGAACGGGGUCGUUUUGACCGUUCUCACCCACUUCCAUGUAUCACUUCCCUUUUCCACCACUUGCCACCAUACUUGGCCGUUUUCGUCCCGGA
rnacentral:misc_RNA from 1 species